AAAACUUUCAACAACGGAUCUCUUGGUUCUCGCAUCGAUGAAGAACGCAGCGAAAUGCGAUACGUAAUGUGAAUUGCAGAAUUGUGAAUCAUCGAAUUUUUGAACGCACAUUGCACCUUUUGGUAUUCCAAAAGGUAUGUCUGUUUGAGCGUCAUUUC
rnacentral:rRNA from 1 species